AGCCGUGUGGUGAGCACAAAGCGAACUAUUCUUUCGCCUUUUACUAAAGAAUACCGUGUGCUCGUCACUCAAAGCGGCAUACGCCUAUUUUUGGAGGGCUUUUCUCUUUUGAGUUA
rnacentral:snRNA from 1 species